ensembl:rRNA 5S_rRNA 5S ribosomal RNA
GGCUAUGGCCAUACCACCCUGAACAUGCCUGAUAUUGUCUGAUCUCGGAAGCUAAGCAGGGUUGGGCCUGGUUAGUAAUUGGAUGGGAGACCACCUAAGAAGACCAGGUGCUGUAGAUG